rnacentral:rRNA from 1 species
GACGAACGCUGGCGGCGUGCUUAACACAUGCAAGUCGAGCGGUAAGGCCCUUUCGGGGGUACGACGAGCGGCGAACGGGUGAGUAACACGUGGGUGACCUGCCUUUAGCUCUGGGAUAAGCCUGGGAAACCGGGUCUAAUACCGGAUAUGACUCCGCGGCGCAUGUUGUGGGGUGGAAAGCCUUGUGCGGCUGGAGAUGGGCCCGCGGCCUAUCAGCUUGUUGGUGGGGUGAUGGCCUACCAAGGCGACGACGGGUAGCCGGCCUGAGAGGGCGACCGGCCACACUGGGACUGAGACACGGCCCAGACUCCUACGGGAGGCAGCAGUGGGGAAGUCUUGCGCAAUGGGCGAAAGCCUGACGCAGCGACGCCGCGUGAGGGAUGACGGCCUU